UAUCUCUGUAGAGUCUGCAUAUCAAUAAGCGGAGGAAAAGAAACUAACUAGGAUUCCCUCAGUAACGGCGAGUGAAGCGGGAAGAGCUCAAAUUUGAAAUCUUCAAGGUUCUACCUUGACGAAUUGUAGUUUAAAGAAGUGUUUUCUGUUGGAGUUUUGGUAAAAGUUCUUUGGAAUAGGACAUCAUAGAGGGUGAGAAUCCCGUAUUUGACCAUUAUUUCCAGCUGUGUGAUACACUUUCAAAGAGUCGGAUUGUUUGGGAAUGCAGUCCAAAAUGGGUGGUAAAUUUCAUCUAAAGCUAAAUAUUGGCGAGAGACCGAUAGCGAACAAGUACCGUGAGGGAAAGAUGAAAAGAACUUUGAAAAGAGAGUUAAACAGUACGUGAAAUUGUCAAAAGGGAAGCGUUUGACACCAGUGUUGUUUUCUCGAAAAUCAAUUAAAAAAGGCAGGAUUUUGUGUUGUAUUGACUUUAUCAGCUUUCUGCACUCUUUUCUUGUCUUUUUUUAAUGCACUUUUCGUUUAACAAGUCAACAUCAAUUUCUUUUGUUGUAAAAGGGUCAUUGGAAGGUGGCUUUCUUUUCGGAGAAAGUGUUUAUAGCCUUUGGCCUCUGCAAUCGGAGAGAUUGAGGUCUGCAGCGUAGAUCCUUCGGGGUUAGAUACAUUUGUGCUAAGUUAUAGCCUUUCAUAGACAACUUGUUGACUAUGAUCAGUCAUGUAGCUUACUCGCUUAUGCUAUUUUACCUACGCUUAGGAUGUUGAAGAUGUAGCACAUCAU
rnacentral:rRNA from 1 species